rnacentral:lncRNA from 1 species
UAUGGCAUUAAAUGUAUACAUUAGGAAAAUCAAAAACUCCAACAUCAAUAAUCUAAAUUCUCAACUCAAGAACUUAGAAAAAGAAAAGCAAACUAAACCCAAAGCAAAAUCGAAAAACACAAAUACCACAAUGAACACAAUAUAAAAUGUAUAAUUUAAAUAGCUCUGUAACUAUCAAAACAGAAGAACACUUUCAAAUUCUAGGAUUAGACAAAGAGUUCUUAGACAUGAUACCAA